rnacentral:rRNA from 1 species
UACGGAGGAUGCAAGCGUUAUCCGGAAUGAUUGGGCGUAAAGCGUCCGCAGGUGGCUGUGUAAGUCUGCUGUUAAAGAGUCUAGCUCAACUAGAUAAAAGCAGUGGAAACUACAUGGCUAGAGUGCGUUCGGGGCAGAGGGAAUUCCUGGUGUAGCGGUGAAAUGCGUAGAGAUCAGGAAGAACACCGGUGGCGAAAGCGCUCUGCUAGGCCGCAACUGACACUCAUGGACGAAAGCUAGGGGAGCGAAUGGG